GUUGACCUAAAUAAACCUUCAUUCACUUUCAAACAACAACCUUGCAUAUAUUUAUCUUCUCUUUUUCUCUUUUUUAAUUCUUUUUUUCCAGAAGGAAUAUGUAUUGCUAUCCUUUUUUUAUUUUUCCAUUUUUUCUUUUUUUUGUUAUAUGUCAACCUUUGAAACAUCACAACUAUAUUAAUUCAACCCUACACAACUCCAAACAAGACUCUUUCAACCAUUUUAAUAAAGUGAUAAUUGUUUUUCACUUUUCGGCUUGUAAUAAGUUUUAAACAAAGAAUGAGAUAAUAGGCUCAAG
rnacentral:lncRNA from 1 species